rnacentral:rRNA from 1 species
UAGGGAAUCUUCCACAAUGGACGCAAGUCUGAUGGAGCAACGCCGCGUGAGUGAAGAAGGUUUUCGGACCGUAAAGCUCUGUUGUUGGUGAAGAAGGAUAGAGGUAGUAACUGGCCUUUAUUUGACGGUAAUCAACCAGAAAGUCACGGCUAACUACGUGCCAGCAGCCGCGGUAAUACGUAGGUGGCAAGCGUUGUCCGGAUUUAUUGGGCGUAAAGCGAGCGCAGGCGGAAGAAUAAGUCUGAUGUGAAAGCCCUCGGCUUAACCGAGGAAUUGCAUCGGAAACUGUUU